GAUGAACGCUGGCGGCGUGCCUAAUACAUGCAAGUCGAGCGAACGGACGAGAAGCUUGCUUCUCUGAUGUUAGCGGCGGACGGGUGAGUAACACGUGGAUAACCUACCUAUAAGACUGGGAUAACUUCGGGAAACCGGAGCUAAUACCGGAUAAUAUUUUGAACCGCAUGGUUCAAAAGUGAAAGACGGUCUUGCUGUCACUUAUAGAUGGAUCCGCGCUGCAUUAGCUAGUUGGUAAGGUAACGGCUUACCAAGGCAACGAUGCAUAGCCGACCUGAGAGGGUGAUAGGCCACACUGGAACUGAGACACGGUCCAGACUCCUACGGGAGGCAGCAGUAGGGAAUCUUCCGCAAUGGGCGAAAGCCUGACGGAGAAACGCCGCGUGAGUGAUGAAGGUCUUCGGAUCGUAAAACUCUGUUAUUAGGGAAGAACAUAUGUGUAAGUAACUGUGCACAUCUUGACGGUACCUAAUCAGAAAGCCACGGCUAACUACGUG
rnacentral:rRNA from 1 species